rnacentral:rRNA from 1 species
GACGAACGCUGGCGGCGUGCCUAAUACAUGCAAGUAGAACGCAGUUGCGAACGGGUGAGUAACGCGUAGGUAACUGCCUCAUAGCGGGGGAUAACUCUUGGAAACGAUAGCUAAUACCGCAUACUGUGAUAUGGACCUGCGUUGUAUUAGCUAGUUGGUGAGGUAAAGGCACACCAAGGCGACGUUACAUGGCCGACCUGAGAGGGUGAUCGGCCACACGUGGACUGGGAGACGGCCCAGACUCCUACGGGAGGGAGCAGUAGGGAAACGUCGGAAAUGGACGGAAGUCUGAACGAGCAAAGCCGCGUGAGUGAAAGAGGUUUUCGGAUCGUAAAACUCUGUUGAUAGAGAAGCGGUAAAUAACGAGAAAGGGACGGCUAACUACGUGCCAGCAGCCGCGGUAAUAC